rnacentral:lncRNA from 1 species
AUUUAGUGGUCUUUCGCUUCUGUGGCAGCCCAACAUUGUUGAGUACUUUCUACAUUUUAUGAAUAUUCUACAUUGUGAAUUUUACCUUUCCAAACUUUAAUUCAGGAAACUCAUAUUCCUAGGCUGCCUUGAAGCUAAAGUACAGGUGUGUGAUCUCAGUUACACCAUUCAGAGGCACCUGUGCAAGACUUGGAUUUGGAACUGAGCCACGAUAGGAGUUGGCUAACUGUGGGAAAACAGCUCUUGUGGCACGUACAGUGGCAGACAUAUCUGGUUCUUUGGAAGCAGCUGUGGCAGACUCUCUGGCCCUGUCUCCAUCCUCCCAGAUGCCAGGAGGUGGUGGCACUGGAACUUUUACUGAGCAGCCCCUAGGGUGUGGUUGGACAUUGUUCCUGGAUGCAUAGCUCCAGAGCUCGAUCCCUGCCCCUUCUGCAGAUUCUGUUGCUAACCAGAACAUGAAGAUUCUCUUACUUGUAACUAAGAAACACUUACCAAUACGAGAUGAUAUCAACAAACAUAUUGCCAUCUUUCCAGUGAGGGCUGAUUAGGGCUUGCAGCAGGAAGGAAUUAUAGAGAUGCAUUCAGAACACAAAUUUGAAAAAAUGUUAGGAAUAUUUUAUCAGAUAGGUGUCAUUGAUCGACAAAAAGAAAUUUGAAAAAUUGAGAACAAAUCAAGAUAAAUGUUGAGGAGGAAAGAACCGAAUUUGAAGGCUUUAAUGCUGUAUGGGCCCCAGUUUCCACAAAACCGAGGCUGCAGAUGGCUUCAUGUUAUUACAGCUGCUGAAUCAACUUACAUUGGCUGCAGAAUUCUAUUGCCCUUGUCACAGAAAUGACCUUGACGGAUAGAAGAAUUCUCUGGGCUCGUUUCAGAAGACAAUAGCAAAAGCAGGAUUAAUUCAAAUGAUGGGUUAAUAUGUACCUUAGACUCCAUCAAAUAAUCUUGAGAGCAGCUAGAAAUCUUUUUAGAAGUCUGAGGUUAGAAUUAAAAGCUCCUUAGAUGCCUUGCUCACAAUUCCAUGUGGUUAUUUUAUUAUUUAGACAUCAC